GCCGCAUUGGUGUAAUGGUAACACACGGGAUUGUCUAUCCAGUACCGGGGGUUCGAUUCCCCCAUGUGGCG
rnacentral:tRNA from 1 species